CAGAAUAUUUUCAAAGAUGGAGAUUUCGAAGCAUCCAAUCCACAUCAAUUCUGGCAAUGUGAUGGGGGUUGUACCAUGACAUCCGUAAACAAUGAUAAAGUCAACGGUAGUCGUGCUAUUAAAGUAACCGACAGGCAACAUUAUUACCAAGGUCCAGGUCAAUCGGUUAAGUUGAAACGUAAUGCCCGGUACCAUGUAAUAUGGCAUGUUAAACAAUUAAACAGUAUUCCUGGUAAACUUUUUCAGGAAUUUAGGGUUACCUGCAGUUUUCGUGUCAAUGACAAUUUGGUGUUUUAUCCUGAUUUUGUAAGAGAUCAUAAAGUCCAUCCAGGUAGAGGUUGGGUGAAGCUGGAAGGUUAUAUGAAGACC